GACGAACGCUGGCGGCGUGCUUAACACAUGCAAGUCGAACGGAAAGGCCCUGCUUGCCGGGUGCUCGAGUGGCGAACGGGUGAGUAACACGUGGGUGAUCUGCCCCUUAUUUUGGGAUAAGCCUGGUGAACUGGGUCUAAUACUGGAUAGGACCAUGCUGGAGGGGGUGUGGUGGUAAGAUUAGUUUCGGUAAGGGAUGAGCUUGCGGCCUAUCAGUUUGUUGGUGGGGUAAUGGCCUACCAAGGCGUCGACGGGUAGCCGGCCUGAGAGGGUGGACGGCCACAUUGGGACUGAGAUACGGCCCAGACUCCUACGGGAGGCAGCAGUGGGGAAUAUUGCACAAUGGGCGCAAGCCUGAUGCAGCGACGCCGCGUGGGGGAUGACGGCCUUCGGGUUGUAAACUCCUUUCAGCCAUGACGAAGCCCUUGUGGUGACGGUAGUGGUAGAAGAAGCACCGGCUAACUACGUG
rnacentral:rRNA from 1 species